GACGAACGCUGGCGGCGUGCCUAAUACAUGCAAGUAGAACGCACAGUUUAUACCGUAGCUUGCUACACCAUAGACUGUGAGUUGCGAACGGGUGAGUAACGCGUAGGUAACCUGCCUGGUAGCGGGGGAUAACUAUUGGAAACGAUAGCUAAUACCGCAUAAUAUUAAUUAUUGCAUGAUAACUGAUUAAAAGGUGCAAUUGCACCACUACCAGAUGGACCUGCGUUGUAUUAGCUAGUAGGUGAGGUAACGGCCCACCUAGGCGACGAUACAUAGCCGACCUGAGAGGGUGAUCGGCCACACUGGGACUGAGACACGGCCCAGACUCCUACGGGAGGCAGCAGUAGGGAAUCUUCGGCAAUGGACGAAAGUCUGACCGAGCAACGCCGCGUGAGUGAAGAAGGUUUUCGGAUCGUAAAGCUCUGUUGUAAGAGAAGAAACGGGUGUG
rnacentral:rRNA from 1 species